rnacentral:rRNA from 1 species
UUUAAAUAGCUGCAGUAUUUUAACUGUACAAAGGUAGCAUAGUAAUUAGUCUUUUAAUUGAGGUCUAGAAUGAAUGGUUUAACAAGAGAAAAACUUUAUUUAAUUAAUUAGGUUGAAUUUAAUUUUUUAGUUAAAAAGCUGAAAUUUUUAAGUGGGACGAUAAGACCCUAUAGAUCUUUAAAUUUUAAUUAGUGGAUGUAUUUUAGGUUAUUUAAGGUUUUUUAUUAAAAUUUUUUGUUGGGGUGACAAAUAAAUUUUUUAAACUUUAUUUUUUAAUAACAUAAAUUAAUGGGUUAAAUUGAUCCUGGCUUCUGGACUAUAAAAAUAAGAUACCUUAGGGAUAACAGCGUAAUAAAUUUGUAUAGUUCAUAUAGAUAAAUUUGUUUACGACCUCGAUGUUGAAUUAAUUAAAAUUUUUGGAGCAGAAAUUAAAAUUUUAGGUCUGUUCGACCUUUAAAAUAUUACA